rnacentral:lncRNA from 1 species
CGGCCCCUCCCCGGCCGCCCGCCGGCCCCUCCCGUUACACCCGGGGGAAGGUGUUCCCGAGACCGCUCCCAUCCUCACCCCGCCUCCCCGCUUCCCCGGCUCCAGCCUCCGCCGGCGGAGCUCCACUAUGCCAGACAGUUUCGACACUUUGCAAAGACAAAGACCAGAGGGAGGAGGAAGAGGAGGACAGGGAGGGCGAGGAGGAGGAGGGAGAGGAGGACGGCGCGAUGUGAGCCGGGAAGGGGGCCAGUGCUCGGGACAACCCCCCCUUUAGUCUCCGCGGAGCCCCUCAUCUCCAAAGCCGCGGAAACUCCAGCGUGUCUCCGGCUGCGUUGGGACCGUUUUCAGACUCCACCUUUCUGACCUGGAAAUGCCAGAAGUGAUCAUCAUCGCCAGGGGCUGUGGCGAGCAAACGUUUUGAGCUUUGUGGCCAGGACCGGAAGUGGACAUUCCCUGGGCAUACUUAGGUAAAUGACUGCCCUCUUCCCCUUGCACGAGUGAGAGGUAUUGUCUUUUCUGGUUUCUUCCGUAGAAUAAUCUUGAGUCGCGGAGGAGAGAUGUCUUGUCUUGAUCUCUUUAUAAUUUGGCCUGCCCUCCCCGGGGACAUUCCGUCAAGAGGGAAGGCUUUCUCCUAAAGGGAAAAAUGUAGGACCGUUAGGAUAUCAAGUGACCUCUUUUUCUUGAAAGGAAAGCCUUCUGUGUUUUCAUUAAACAAGUACUUAAAAACCGGAUUGGGAACAGCCUCGUAUGACCAAUGCCUGCCAUGUCAAAGAAGGUCUGGAAUGACGCUGUGUUGGAGAGAGCAUCAGCAAACAACUAUGACCCAUAGGACAAAACUGGCCUGGCCAUUUUUUGUGAAUAAAGUUUUAUGGGUACCCAGCCACACUCCUCUGUUCAAGUAUGUCUGUGGUUGCUGUCACAGCACAAACAGCAGUGGUGACAGAGGCUGUGUGGCCUGAGAGCCUGAAAUAUUUAGUCUGGUCCUUAAUGGAAAAAGCGUGCCAGGCCCUGGACUAGAGUUAAGCUGUCCGCAGGUAGCCCCUCCAUAUACAGCUAUUUAAAUGUUCAUUCACUAAAAUUAAACAAAAUUAAAAAUUCAGCCCUCACUCAACACUGACCACAUUUCAAGUGCCCAGUAGCCACAUGUGACCCAUGGCUACCAUUUUGGACUGUGCACAUGGAGAACGUUUCCAUCAGUGAGGAAGGCGGGCUUGGGGAAACUUUGAUCGCCCUGCCCUGGGCUGUCUCUCUUCGAUCUGCCAAUGUUUAACUCAGCUUGGAUAUCAUGGCAACCACUGUGGAAGAAGGAAGGUUGGUGCAUGUAUUUGUGUGUGUGUGGCUGUUCUAUAUGAUUAUUGGUGAGGACAUCUAUAUCUGUGUCUACCUGCCUUGUCUAUAAACA